UACGUAUGGUGCAAGCGUUAUCCGGAUUUACUGGGUGUAAAGGGAGCGUAGACGGCUGUGUAAGUCUGAAGUGAAAGCCCGGGGCUCAACCCCGGGACUGCUUUGGAAACUAUGCAGCUAGAGUGUCGGAGAGGUAAGUGGAAUUCCCAGUGUAGCGGUGAAAUGCGUAGAUAUUGGGAGGAACACCAGUGGCGAAGGCGACUUACUGGACGAUGACUGACGUUGAGGCUCGAAAGCGUGGGGAGCAAACAGG
rnacentral:rRNA from 1 species